CAGCAGUCGCCACGGGAAUACGGAGGGUGCGAGCGUUAAUCGGAAUUACUGGGCGUAAAGCGUACGCAGGCGGUUUGUUAAGUCAGAUGUGAAAUCCCCGGGCUUAACCCGGGAACUGCAUUUGAAACUGGCAGGCUAGAGUCUCGUAGAGGGGGGUAGAAUUCCAGGUGUAGCGGUGAAAUGCGUAGAGAUCGGGAGGAACAUCAGUGGCGAAGGCGGCCAUCUGGGACAACACUGACGCUGAGGCACGAAAGCGUGGGGAGCAAACAGGAUUAGAUACCCCAGUAGUCCCUGUCUCUUAUAC
rnacentral:rRNA from 1 species